rnacentral:rRNA from 1 species
AACGAACGCUGGCGGCAGGCUUAACACAUGCAAGUCGAACGCCCCGCAAGGGGAGUGGCAGACGGGUGAGUAACGCGUGGGAAUCUACCCAGUUCUACGGAACAACUGAGGGAAACUUCAGCUAAUACCGUAUACGCCCUACGGGGGAAAGAUUUAUCGGAAUUGGAUGAGCCCGCGUUGGAUUAGCUAGUUGGUGAGGUAAUGGCUCACCAAGGCGACGAUCCAUAGCUGGUCUGAGAGGAUGAUCAGCAACACUGGGACUGAGACACGGCCCAGACUCCUACGGGAGGCAGCAGUGGGGAAUAUUGGACAAUGGGCGCAAGCCUGAUCCAGCCAUGCCGCGUGAGUGAUGAAGGCCUUAGGGUUGUAAAGCUCUUUCAGUGGGACGAUAAUGACGGUACCCACAGAAGAAGCCCCGGCUAACUUCGUGCCAGCCGCCGCAGUAAGAC